CCUACGGGGGGCUGCAGUGGGGAAUAUUGCACAAUGGGCGCAAGCCUGAUGCAGCCAUGCCGCGUGUGUGAAGAAGGCCUUCGGGUUGUAAAGCACUUUCAGCGGGGAGGAAGGCGUUAAGGUUAAUAACCUUGUCGAUUGACGUUACCCGCAGAAGAAGCACCGGCUAACUCCGUGCCAGCAGCCGCGGUAAUACGGAGGGUGCAAGCGUUAAUCGGAAUUACUGGGCGUAAAGCGCACGCAGGCGGUCUGUCAAGUCGGAUGUGAAAUCCCCGGGCUCAACCUGGGAACUGCAUUCGAAACUGGCAGGCUAGAGUCUGGUAGAGGGGGGUAGAAUUCCAGGUGUAGCGGUGAAAUGCGUAGAGAUCUGGAGGAAUACCGGUGGCGAAGGCGGCCCCCUGGACAAAGACUGACGCUCAGGUGCGAAAGCGUGGGGAGCAAACAGGAUUAGAUACCCCGGUAGUC
rnacentral:rRNA from 1 species